rnacentral:rRNA from 1 species
AUGGCGGACUGGUCGGCGCUUCCGUCGGACCUCGUCCGCAGCGUCGCCGACCGCCUGCUCGCCGCGGCGAACGACGUCGACUACUACAUGGGCGUGCGCGCCGUCUGCCACGGCUGGCGCCUGGCCAUGGCCGACCCAUGCCGGUGCGUCACCGAUGUUGACCUCCUCCGUUUCCGUCCACGGCACUGGAUCAUGCUCCACGACGACGAGGACGAGACGGUCGACGACGGCGGCGUCGUCCGCCUCUUCCUCAACGUGGCCACCGGCCGCUUCCUCCGCCGGCGCGUCCCGCUGCUCCGGGACCACGUCCUCGUCGCCGCCUCCGACGGCCUCCUCGUCCUCGGCGACAAGAAGUACCCGCACCGAGCCAGCGUCAUCAACCCUUUCAGGGGCUCCUUGGUCCGCUUCGCGUCGGCCAUACCCCGCGUGAACCGGGUGCGAGCCGCGGUGACCGGCUCCGAGGACGACCCGUCGCUCUCGCUCGUCUUCUCCUUCUUCCACGACCCCUACAGCGACGCGGUCUCGUGUGCCCACUCGACCGGUGACGAACUCUCCCCGGUGCGGCAGUCCGCCGGCGCCGGCCCCUUCCUCUGCUGGAAGGAAGCGAGCAUGGCUACCUACCGAGGACAUGUCUACGUGGCCGACCGCGACGGACAGAUCGUCAGGUACGUCGUCCCGUCGGCGCAGCACCGCCAGCAAGACUGCCACACCGAGCUCAUAGGCAAGGCACCCUUGGAGAAUGUCACCGGAGGCCGCUGCGGCCGAGCCUUUCUCGUGGCGUCGGCCGGGGAGCUGCUGCUCGUCCGCCAACGUCACCUCCGUCGACGGCGGGCCGUGGAGGUCUUCAGGGUCGACGUGGAACGAAAGGCGCCGCUGGAGCCCGUGAGGAGCAUCGGCCGCCGUGCGCUCUUCCUUGGCGGCAGGUGCGUGUCUGUCAACGCCGGCGAGCUUGCUUCCGUCGACGGCGACUGCGUGUACCUCGCCUCGGAGAGCGGCAAUGUUGCUUGGAGGUACGAUCUCCGAGACGGAGGCGAGACGAUGAUCUCGAGCUUUGAUGCUCGGCCGUUUGGCUUGGUUCAGGCGCUGCUAAACUACUGCUUCGUCCUCCCCGAUGCGAAGGCUCAGCUUCACUCGGUCUACCGAACGGAGUGUUUGCUGUCGGUUCAGAGUUCUUCAGAGUCAGACUAA